GCCUGUCCAGUUUCUACAGCCAUAGGCUUGAACCGCUUGGCAGCCCGUAGGCCUACAGUAGGGGUCUCCCGUAUUGUGCCUUGUCUCUGAAACAACCGGCAACGUGCUUCCCUUUGCCUUGCUGACAUGCAAAAGCAACUCAUACAUGCAGCAGGAUCCUCCCUUGCUGCCAAUGCAUGUUCCUCUCCCAAGCAAUACACACAUAAGUCAUGGGGAUCAUCUAUGGGGAUCCUCCCCCCACAGCCCAUGCACAAUGGACUCUCCCGGCUCGUCAUUGCGUGACGUCACCGUCACGUGACCCGGAAAAGUUUAUGGCGUUUUGUUUGCUAAGUUUGUUAGCUUUAACUUUGUUUACCUGUGAGUCUGCCUUUUUUUUCUAAAAAUCGACUCAUGGAAUGGGGAUAGGGAGAGAAGCUUUUUCUUUGGGACGCUGUUGUGCCACUGCCGACACAACACACAAUAUACAAGGAAGCGUCUUUUUUUUUUUUUUUUUUUUUUUUUUUAAAUGGCAAGAAAGCCGUCCCGGAGGAAAAUGCUGGCCGUGCCCGCGACUUGUCGCAUCUCCGGCCAGCUGCACCUAUACGGCACAAUCCUCCUAAUGGACAACUUCCCCACGCUAAAAAGAAAAAAGGAGGAGAUAUGAGAGAGGACGCUGGCUGCACCCGCGACUUUGUCGCUUCCUCAGACCAGCUGUACGCUCAGUACCCUCAGCUCAACUUCUCCAAAGAAAAUAGAAGGGAGCAAAAAAGGCAACUUUUCACCCUGAGAGGAGUCUAACACAGACCAGCUCUCUACCCGAAGCCUUUCCAGAACAGCAUGUAGAUGCAGUAGAAGGUGGCAGCGCCUUCUUAAACUGUCUUGUGGAAAACCAGCGCAAUGUGGAGAAGUUAACAGUGGAGUGGUCCAAGUGGUCCAAAGAUGGAGUGAAAGAGUGCGUCCACCUCUAUAAACACAGAAAAGACCAAGUUGCCAACCAGGAUGAGAAGUUCAGAGGCAAGGCCAACCUCAAACAUGAAGGCUUGAAAGGUGGAAUUGUGACCCUGGAGCUGCAGUUUGUCCACCUGUCCAACAGUGGACGAUACAUCUGCUACAUUCCCAGGCUGGACCACCACUGUUACAUCAUCCUCAAUAUUGUUUCUGCUGGACAAAACAACAUGACAAAGGGAGAAAACUCCAGCACAACUGGACCUCCAGAUGAGGACAACCAAGGUCAUCUAAACCGGAACUUUGGCAGAGCUAUCGUGCUUUCCAUCGUUUUCCUUAUCUUCAGCAUUUUCAUCGUCAUCCUGAUCAUACUGGCCCGACGUCAUGCAGCAAUGAAGUCUGAAAUGAAGAGAACGAAGAGAACCAGCUCAUAUGAUCCUGAAAAUCAACUACCAGAAGGUGUCUCUAUCACCUCUGAGCUCCACCCCAGAGAUCAGCAUUAACCAGGCCUCAGCGCCACGUCUGGUCACACACACAGACACACACAGUUGUCUAAGUAAAGGGAUAAAAAUAUGACGUAUUUGGUCAGUGGUUCCCAACCUUUUUUUGGCUCUUGACCCCAUUUUAACAUCACAAAUUUUUGGCAACCCCAGGGAUUAAAAACAGAAACAUUUUUUUGGCUAAAAUUAAUUUGUUUCUGAUCAUGUAAUAGUUUGCUAUACUAUGUUGCAAAUAAACAUUAAUUUUAGACAACAUUUAGUCUAUAUAAUGUACAUUUUUAUGGCUGGAGGCAGAAAAGCCAGGUGUAGAUUACUGCACGAAGUGAGAAUUUGAUUUUCCUUGGUCAGGAUAUGUACAGUCAGUCAAGCUUGGAUUUACAAGGCUGACAAUUAAUACUGAACAAACAAGAACUCAAACUAUGAAUUAUGAAAGAGCUGAAGCAUCUGAAACCGACCACAAUGAACAUUUGAAAGAUAAACAGUACCACAGUGCUUCAGUUUCAGCUUCACAGUUUGUCAUGUCUUUUAUAUAUUGGGAUUGUCCCUGUCAACUCACCAUAUAUUUUUUAUUUCUAAGUUGUUGGGUUUUUUUUAUCAAUUGCUAGAAAUUUCAGGCAACCCCACAGUUGAAAAACACUGCCCUAAGGUUUGUUUUUUUGGCUGAAGUCUUGGUGAUAAUGUCCUGUUUACCUCUUUGUCUCUUUCAGUUACUGUGGAUGUUUUCAAACUGCAGCAUCUUUUAUAAAUAAAGCCCAGUUACUGUAUGUUCAUAUCAUUAAAAAAAAUAUACUAAUUUUAUUUGAAAUAUGUCACUUUCAGCAUCAGCUACUGUUUGUUUUUUCUUCAGUUUCUUUUUAUUUCUUUUGUUUAAAUCAAAGCACUUUUUGUACAUGUUCUUGUCUUUUCCCAUUUUAUAAAUAAAUUGAUUUCACUCUUUAAAAA
ensembl:lncRNA